UGCAGUCGAGGGGUAACAGGGAGUGCUUGCACUCUGCUGACGACCGGCGCACGGGUGCGUAACGCGUAUGCAAUCUACCUCUUACUGAGGGAUAGCCCAUGGAAACGUGGAUUAAUACCUCAUAGUAUUAUAAACUGGCCUCAGUUUAUGAUUAAAGGUUACGGUAAGAGAUGAGCAUGCGUCCUAUUAGCUAGAUGGUAAGGUAACGGCUUACCAUGGCUACGAUAGGUAGGGGUCCUGAGAGGGAGAUCCCCCACACUGGUACUGAGACACGGACCAGACUCCUACGGGAGGCAGCAGUGAGGAAUAUUGGACAAUGGGCGAGAGCCUGAUCCAGCCAUGCCGCGUGCAGGAAGACGGCCCUAUGGGUUGUAAACUGCUUUUACAGAGGAAGAACCCUCCUUACGUGUAAGGAGCUGACGGUACUCUAUGAAUAAGGAUCGGCUAACUCCGUGCCAGCAGCCGCGGUAAUACGGAGGAUCCAAGCGUUAUCCGGAAUCAUUGGGUUUAAAGGGUCCGUAGGCGGGUCUAUAAGUCAGUGGUGAAAGUCUGCAGCUUAACUGUAGAACUGCCAUUGAUACUGUAGACCUUGAAUUAGUAUGAAGUGGUUAGAAUGUGUAGUGUAGCGGUGAAAUGCAUAGAUAUUACACAGAAUACCGAUUGCGAAGGCAGAUCACUAAUACUAUAUUGACGCUGAUGGACGAAAGCGUAGGUAGCGAACAGGAUUAGAUACCCUGGUAGUCUACGCCGUAAACGAUGGUUACUAGCUGUCCGGCCUAAUUGAGGGCUGGGUGGUUAAGCGAAAGUGAUAAGUAACCCACCUGGGGAGUACGUUCGCAAGAAUGAAACUCAAAGGAAUUGACGGGGGCCCGCACAA
rnacentral:rRNA from 1 species